GAUGAACGCUAGCGGCAGGCCUAACACAUGCAAGUCGAGGGAGGAGCUUUCGGGCUUCGACCGGCGUACGGGUGCGUAACGCGUAUACAAUCUGCCUUUCACAUAGGGAUAGCCCGAAGAAAUUUGGAUUAAUACCUAAUGGUAUAUAGGGGUGGCAUCACCUUUAUAUUAAAGCUGAGGCGGUGAAAGAUGAGUAUGCGUUCUAUUAGCUAGUUGGAGAGGUAACGGCUCCCCAAGGCGACGAUAGAUAGGGGUUCUGAGAGGGAUAUCCCCCACACUGGUACUGAGAUACGGACCAGACUCCUACGGGAGGCAGCAGUGAGGAAUAUUGGACAAUGGUCGGAAGACUGAUCCAGCCAUGCCGCGUGCAGGAAGACGGCCUUAUGGGUUGUAAACUGCUUUUGCAGGGGAAGAAUAAGGAGUACGUGUACUUUGAUGACGGUACUCUGCGAAUAAGCAUCGGCUAACUCCGUGCCAGCAGCCGCGGUAAUACGGAGGAUGCGAGCGUUAUCCGGAAUCAUUGGGUUUAAAGGGUCCGUAGGCGGGCUAAUAAGUCAGAGGUGAAAGCGCUCAGCUCAACUGAGCAACUGCCUUUGAAACUGUUAGUCUUGAAUGGUUGUGAAGUAGUUGGAAUGUGUAGUGUAGCGGUGAAAUGCUUAGAUAUUACACAGAACACCGAUAGCGAAGGCAUAUUACUAACAAUUAAUUGACGCUGAUGGACGAAAGCGUGGGGAGCGAACAGG
rnacentral:rRNA from 1 species